rnacentral:rRNA from 1 species
CAGCACCUCAAGUUGUCAGGAUGAUUAUUGGGCCUAAAGCAUCCGUAGCCGGCGCUGUAAGUUUUCGGUUAAAUCUGUACGCUCAACGUACAGGCUGCCGGGAAUACUGCAGCGCUAGGGAGUGGGAGAGGUAGACGGUACUCGGUAGGAAGGGGUAAAAUCCUUUGAUCUAUUGAUGACCACCUGUGGCGAAGGCGGUCUACCAGAACACGUCCGACGGUGAGGGAUGAAAGCUGGGGGAGCAAACCGGAUUAGAGACCCGAGUAGUCC